rnacentral:rRNA from 1 species
AGAGUUUGAUCCUGGCUCAGAUUGAACGCUGGCGGAGCGCUUUACACAUGCAAGUCGAACGGUAACGUGGGGAGGAGCUUGCUCCACCCCGACGACGAGUGGCGAACGGGUGAGUAAUACAUCGGAACGUGUCCGCUCGUGGGGGACAACCAGCCGAAAGGUUGGCUAAUACCGCAUGAGUUCUACGGAAGAAAGAGGGGGACCCGCAAGGGCCUCUCGCGAGCGGAGCGGCCGAUGACUGAUUAGCCGGUUGGUGAGGUAACGGCUCACCAAAGCAACGAUCAGUAGCUGGUCUGAGAGGACGACCAGCCACACUGGGACUGAGACACGGCCCAAACUCCUACGGGAGGCAGCAGUGGGGAAUAUUGCACAAUGGGGGAAACCCUGAUGCAGCGACGCCGCGUGAGUGAAGAAGUAUCUCGGUAUGUAAAGCUCUAUCAGCAGGGAAGAAAAUGACGGUACCUGACUAAGAAGCCCCGGCUAACUACGUGCCAGCAGCCGCGGUAAUACGUAGGGGGCAAGCGUUAUCCGGAUUUACUGGGUGUAAAGGGAGCGUAGACGGCGGAGCAAGUCUGAAGUGAAAGCCCGGGGCUCAACCCCGGGACUGCUUUGGAAACUGUUCUGCUAGAGUGCUGGAGAGGUAAGUGGAAUUCCUAGUGUAGCGGUGAAAUGCGUAGAUAUUAGGAGGAACACCAGUGGCGAAGGCGGCUUACUGGACAGUAACUGACGUUGAGGCUCGAAAGCGUGGGGAGCAAACAGGAUUAGAUACCCUGGUAGUCCACGCCGUAAACGAUG